rnacentral:rRNA from 1 species
AGAGUUUGAUCAUGGCUCAGGACGAACGCUGGCGGCGUGCUUAACACAUGCAAGUGGAGCGACGAACCAGGGCUUGCCCUGGGGCAGAGCCGCGAACGGGUGAGUAACACGUGGGUUACCUGCCUCGAUGACCGGGACAACCCGAGGAAACUCGGGCUAAUACCGGAUGUGCCCGCAAGGGGAAAAGGAAGCUUCGGCCUCCGCAUCGAGAUGGGCCCGCGGCCCAUUAGCUUGUUGGUUGGGGUAACGGCCCACCAAGGCUUCGAUGGGUAGCUGGUCUGAGAGGACGAUCAGCCACACUGGGACUGAGACACGGCCCAGACUCCUACGGGAGGCAGCAGUGGGGAAUCUUGCGCAAUGCGCGAAAGCGUGACGCAGCAACGCCGCGUGGGGGAAGAAGGCUUUCGGGUUGUAAACCCCUUUCAGUUGGGACGAAGCUCUGACGGUGAAUAGCCGGCCGGAGUGACGGUACCUUCACAAGAAGCACCGGCUAACUACGUGCCAGCAGCCGCGGUAAUACGUAGGGUGCAAGCGUUGUCCGGAAUUAUUGGGCGUAAAGAGCGUGUAGGCGGCCCGAUUAGUCCGCUGUGAAAGUCCAGGGCUCAACCCUGGAAUGCCGGUGGAUACUGUCGGGCUAGAGUCCGGAAGGGGCGAGUGGAAUUCCUGGUGUAGCGGUGAAAUGCGCAGAUAUCAGGAGGAACACCAAUGGCGAAGGCAGCUCGCUGGGACGUGACUGACGCUGAGACGCGAAAGCGUGGGGAGCAAACAGGAUUAGAUACCCUAGUAGUCC